CCCAGCCCCACCUGGAUUCGCCUCAGCGGUGCCGCCUUCCCGAGCGCCUGUUUCAAAACUCCUCGAAAAGAGCUUUAACGUAGAAAACUUGGGUUCGAGACCACAAAGUCGUGAGGCCAGUGCAGAAUGACAGCCGUAACUCUGGAUGUCUUCAUCAGCUGCUGCUGGCAACACCCUGACAAAAUAUCUGCUACCCAGAACCACAUACUGCGCGGCAGGUGGUGCUCUUGGUCCUUCCAAACACAAGCUGCACUUCCUAAACUCCAGUCAGGUCAGAAUUGUUCCAUCCUGCCCCAGCUGGCUGGUUUGAGCCCUGUCUGCUUCUGGGCAGGGUCUUUCAGCUUGAGUGAAGUGUUUUCCACCAGUGAAGAGGAAAGGAGGGAAGAAAAGGUACUCCAUGUGGGGUUUUGGCAGGAAAUGAAGAAAGGAUCAGUACAAACAAAAAGAACUAGCUGGCAAGUACAUACUUAACCACACUGUAGCCCAAUCCAGCCUUCUGUCCCAAAUUUAAUGGUAAAAAUACUAACUGUGGAACUUAUAAGGAAAACGUUGUAGCUAUUAAAUGGGAUGGUUCUGUUGCCAUUGUUUUCUUGUGCUGUGUACAUUGCGUAGGAUCAUGCUUUCCCCUACACAUUGUCAUUCUCACUGCAAGCACCACAAAACUUGUAACAGCAACAAUUCUAAUUUCCAGGUUCCACUUGCUUGUUUCUCAGCUGGCAGCUAUACCUUGUCCCUGCAUUUGUGUCAUCCCUUACAUCUUGCAAAAUCUGGAUCAGAAAGGCCAAGGGCAGGAGACAGGUAAAUUUUCUUCCAGCUGUUAACAAACAAGUAAUUAAAACUGGCAAAGUGUCAUAAUCUUUGAUUUUCUAUCUUUUUAAAAUAAUGUUUCAAGUGGAAAACUCGCUGCUCAGGAUUUCAAAAAUCUUAGUUGAAAGUGCUUAGAAAGUAACUAAAAAUAGACAAUUCUGAGCAGAACUUCAAAGUUUGGAAAGAAAAAUCAUGAAUACCAGCCAACUAUCUCAUCAAUAGAUCCCUACCCAAGGUUUUUGCAGCAGUUUCCUGGAAAGGUGUCAUUGCCAGUUCUUUUCUAUUUUUCUCAUAAACAUAUGUUCUUGAGGAAUUUAAUAUUAGGCUAAAUAAAAAAUUACAACCCCACUUCAUUUAUUCUAAAGGCAUUGAGUUCUGCUGUUCCCCAGUCCUCUCCUGUAUAUGUUAACUAUGUUCAGAGAUGUGGUAAAAUAGAGGAAAUGCUUCAUUUUACCCAAGAACUUAUUAAAAUGCACUUGUUCAGGUUUUAGGUUUGUUUUCUUGGAGUGCGAGGAGUAGACACCAAUAGAUGGUGCUGCUGGUGCAUUAAUAAGGUUCAGUUUCACAUUUGUUUUCUGGUCUGUGCUUGGAAUUUGUUAAAAAAAAAAAAAGAGAGAGAACAAAACAAAACAACAAAAAAGAACAAAACAACAAAAUCCCUCAUGCUAAGCUUUUAUCCAAAAUGUUCUCCCCACACUGAACCGGUCACCAUUUAACUUUAACCUGAACUGUGGCCCAGGAAAUCCUUCAACAUAAAUAACCUUGG